GUCCACGCCGUAAACGAUGAUAACUAGCUGUCCGGGCACUUGGUGCUUGGGUGGCGCAGCUAACGCAUUAAGUUAUCCGCCUGGGGAGUACGGUCGCAAGAUUAAAACUCAAAGGAAUUGACGGGGGCCUGCACAAGCGGUGGAGCAUGUGGUUUAAUUCGAAGCAACGCGCAGAACCUUACCAGCGUUUGACAUCCCGCGCUACAACCAGAGAUGGUUGGUUCCCUUCGGGGACGCGGUGACAGGUGCUGCAUGGCUGUCGU
rnacentral:rRNA from 1 species